rnacentral:snRNA from 1 species
GCGCAAGUGAAAUACCACUAC